GAGAAGGCAGUGCCCCAUCCAGGAUGGCGGGGAGGGUACCUGGCUGUUGGCACGGCUCCAUGCACAGCCUGGGCCCACCUCCCACCGCCCCACAGCCAGGGCCUGCCCCUCCUUCGCCGCUUCUCCGGUUAAGGGUGUGGACUCACAGGCUCUUCUGCUCUGGGCAGGUGUGUGUGUGGCAGUCCCAGGCGGUCAUGAAGCCACCUGGGGCCCCUGCCUGGGCCAGGCCUGCCUCCGGGAGGGAGUUGGGUGUAGUGUCAGAAGGGCUGCCUGGCUCCAGAGGAGCGGUGGGGGGACUGGAGAGGCCCCAUCUUCCAUCCACUUACUCAUUUAUUCCACACGUUUUUGUCAAGCCCUAGGUAGGUUCCAGGCCCUGUUCCAGGUGCUGGGAUACAGCAGGAAAUAAAGCCAAGUUCCUGCCCUCCGAAGCUGACAGUCCCUUAAGGGAACAGAGAAUAAAUCAGUUAAACACUAAAACUUAGAUUAAAAAGUGUCUCCGGUCUGGCGAAGCCUUGGCUCAAAGACUCACACCAGGUAGGACGCGGCAGGCAGCCCGGACGGGACAUUUUCUGCCAGCAGCCGCCAGGGUGGCGCAUCAGCUCGACAAGUGGGACCAUCCCCCCGGGGACCUGAGACUGUCUUUCUGUCCUCGGGCACCACCUUCAAGGCACGUGGGGAGGGAGGAGCCCCCUCGAGACCCUGUGCCCGGCAGUCUUGCCCUCCCCACAGCCGCCUCUCCCAGCCGGCCAGCCGAGCUCCCCAUGUUACACGCAGAGUUCGGGUGCAUGCUGCCUGUGUUGGACGGGUACUGCCCCGGCUCCAUGAUGCCAGAAUUUUUCCACAGCCUUGGAGAGGGCCUUUCACUGAGGGCUGGAGGCCCGGGCUCUGCCCCCUCACAUUCCAGCUGGCCCUGCCCCCUCACCCUGCCCUUGGGUGACAGUGGAGUGGACUUUCAUGUGGCUUGCGUGGGGUUGGGAGAACUUUACAAACAUUAGGACCUAACACUGUCUCAUCGCUGAAAUAAGAGGCCGUAGUACCGAAGAGCUGCGUGGGCGCCGGCCGAGGCCUCUCCCAGCCCAUGUGGGUGGCACAUCUGCCCCCACCUCAAAGCCAUGCCCCAGCCACCGUGAGCGUCCCAGCCGCACGCCAUUGUCUCCACCGCCGGCUCCUUGUUCACACACCUGGGGAUUUCUUUUGAUUUCAACAACAGCCUUAACCGUUUCCGUUGGGUUCGCGUGUAUACCUCACAGCUGUUCUUUGGUUCCCCCUUCCCCGUCUCUCCUCCAGCUUUGCUCUCACCUGCUUCCUCUCCCCUCCAGCGCCACCUCGGGACUGAUGGUCUGGCUUCCUCUCUGCUCUGCCCCUGCUCAGCACAGGGACACGCUGACCUAGAAGCAAUAGUGGGCAGCAGGCCGCCAACAGCACGGCCCAGGGCGAGGCCAGGGGAGGCCCUGCACCUGCCUGUUUACUGUGCAAUUCCUGUCCUUAAGCCAUCACUGGUGGGUGAGCUCGGAGCAGAGGGCCAGGGCCUGGCAGCCAAGGGAAGGGUCCAGAGCCCUGUGCUGGGGACACGGCGCUGUCCAUCCUCCCACUAGACUGGGCCCUUCCAUGGGGCCUCCCUGCACCUUGGGCGCCACCACGAGUCUCAUCUCUAAUGUCUAUGCAAUGAAAUAUGAACCCUCAAAGACAACUGUUAACAUUUAAUAAAUCCAUGUCAUGGAUAAGGAA